rnacentral:rRNA from 1 species
AGUGAACGCUGGCGGUAGGCCUAACACAUGCAAGUCGAACGGCAGCACAGUAAGAGCUUGCUCUUACGGGUGGCGAGUGGCGGACGGGUGAGGCAUACAUCGGAAUCUACUUUUUCGUGGGGGAUAACGUAGGGAAACUUACGCUAAUACCGCAUACGACCUACGGGUGAAAGCAGGGGAUCUUCGGACCUUGCGCGAUUGAAUGAGCCGAUGUCGGAUUAGCUAGUUGGCGGGGUAAGGGCCCACCAAGGCGACGAUCCGUAGCUGGUCUGAGAGGAUGAUCAGCCACACUGGAACUGAGACACGGUCCAGACUCCUACGGGAGGCAGCAGUGGGGAAUAUUGGACAAUGGGCGCAAGCCUGAUCCAGCCAUACCGCGUGGGUGAAGAAGGCCUUCGGGUUGUAAAGCCCUUUUGUUGGGAAAGAAAAGCAGCAGGUUAAUACCCCGCUGUUCUGACGGUACCCAAAGAAUAAGCACCGGCUAACUUCGUG